rnacentral:tRNA from 1 species
UACAGAUAUAAGUAAUGGUAGCUGAAUGGUCUCCAAAACCAUUCGUGUGGGUUCGAUUCCUGCUGUCUGUGU